rnacentral:lncRNA from 1 species
AUAAGAUCUUAUCCAGUCAGGAGGUACUGGACCAAUCUGAAGUGCAGCCAAGACCGGGAGCCACAGACCUGGAACCUGGGUACUCAAAGAGUUGUCCACGUGCCAGCAGCACUGGCCCCUCCAGGAGCUUGUUAGAAAUGUAGAACCUCAGAGCCUACAUUAAAGAUAUUGAAUCGGAGUCUGCACGUCACAUCUGAGAAGCCAUGAGCUAAGCUGAUGCCAUUCAGCUGGGUAGCAUCGCAGUCACUGUGCAACUUUUAAACCUACAGCUGCCCAGGCCCACUGCAGACCUGCUAAAUUCGAGCUCCUUGUAGUGGGGCCAGGGCCCUGGGACUUCACACAAAACUCUGCAAGUCAUCACUGAUGAGAAAACCAAGACUCGAUGAGAGUCUCCUGAGCUCGGGGGAAGAAGCUGCAUAACCGGCACACUUCCAGAAAGGACCGAGGAAGAGAGCGUCGCUUCAGCUAGGGAUCUGAUUAGUCAUGCCUGGUCUCAGCAGACCAAAGCAAGUUAUUUUCUGAUGAAAGGAUUUCAUCAAACCUUGAUGCUCACUUG